rnacentral:rRNA from 1 species
AUGAUAGUGCGUUUCCACGAAGAUGAAGUAAUCUACCACAGCUUUGACAAUGCGGAGGACGACCCAUAUGGCUACUAUGCUCUUGAGUUUCUUAACGGAUUGACUCCUAAUGGUCUUCCUCCACAUGCACUGAAACUAAAGCUGAACUACCCGGUCAUUCUUCUAAGCAACAUUGAUCCAGCUAAUGGACUGUGUAACGGGACUAGGCUUGUUGUUAGAGGUUUUGAGAGGAACACCAUUGAUGCAGUAAUCGUGAUUGGACAGCACAUUGGUAGGAGGGUCUUCCUUCCUCGAAUACCUCUAUGCCUAUCUGACAACGACAUGUUUCCAUUCAACUUUAAGAGGAAGCAAUUUCCUAUAAGUCUUAGCUUUGCUAUGACGAUUAACAAGGCUCAAGGGUAGACCAUCCCGAUUGUUAGUGUGUAUCUUCCUAAUCCGGUGUUCUCUCAUGGUCAACUCUAUGUUGCUUUGUCUCGAGCCACCACGAAGAGAACAUAAAGACUUAUUCAGAAGGAGAAGUCCAACAAGCAAAAUAAGAAUCCAAAGAAGCGAAAAAGACCGACCGUGUCCUUGCUGACCUCAAUGAAGAACAUCAUCUACAGGGAAGUACUUACAGGUUGA